ACCAUAUGAUCUCACUCAUGGGUGGAAUGCAAAAAGAAAUGAAGAGGAGAGCUGUAACCAGGGGCUGGGGAAAGUAGUAGAGAGGAGGAAAUGUUGAUCAGCAGAUACUAAAUUACAGUUAGAUUAUAAGAAGAUCUGACGUGCUAUUACACGGAAGGGUGACUAUAAAUAGUGAUCGUGUGUUACAUGUCCUUAGAAGAAAGGAUUCUGAAUGUUUCAAUAUAAAAAAGGUAAAUGUUUGAGGACUUAGAUAUGUUUAACCUACCAAUGUGUACAUAUAUCAAACAUCACAUGGUAUCUAUUAAUAUGUACAGUUAAAAUAUGUCUAAUAAAAAAAUACAAGCUUUGGUUACAAUUGGCAGGUUAGUCUCAACUUUCCAUCAUCCACUCGGUAUUUAUCACACCAAGAAACUCUUGCAAGUACUCUAAGAAUUGCUUGACUCUCCGUCUUUCCUGGCCACACUUUUUCUGUAAAAAUAAUAGACAAUUGAAGAAAACUGUCAGUUUCUGUAGAAACAGGCACAGCCAGACAAAUACAAUUCCCAUAGAAAUGUUCAUAACUUACUUUUUGGAUGUCAAUGUAUUUUUUCAUUAAAGACAAGUUUUGGAAUAGUCUUUCCACAGCAUCGCCUUGUGCAGUUUGAUUCUUCAGCGUAUCUAUUCCCUGAAAGAUUUCUUCAAUGCAUAGUUGGUGCUAAAUGAGGAAGAUUUAAAAAGACUUAAAAGAAUGAGAGCCAACCAAGAGUGGCUCUUAAUUUUCAAUGUAAUUAAACUUCACAGGCAAGCCAGGCAUGGUGGUGCAAAUUAUCAAAACACGAUAUAAAAGUUGGGUCUAUUGCAUAACACUCCUAUGUUCCACUGUAGAACAUUCCUAUAUGUGAAUACAUGACUGGUGUAACUCCACAUCAUGUAUAACCACAAAAUUGGGAAGUUAUACUGCAUGUAUGUAUGAUAUGUCAAAUACAUUUACUGUCAAGUAUAACUAAAAAGAACAAAUAAUAAAAAUUAAAAAAACUUUGUCAUCCCACAAUGUAUACAUAUUUCAAAACAUAAUAUUAGAAACAAUAAAUAUACACAAUUUUAAUUUGUCAACUUUAAAAAAUCAGAAAAAAAAAAUCUGGUCCCAAAAGUUAGGCUUCAUUUUAUGGCAUUUGUUCUCCUCCAAAGAGUUUUAUUGCUUGUUUCUUUCCCAAGUGGCAAACUACCUCAUGCUGAGAAAAUCAUCAACAGAUAGAUGAAGCUUUUUAAUUACUGAAGAGCAUUACAAAAGUUAUUAAGAAAUUACACAAGGGCUGGGGUUUUGACUCAGCGAUGGAGCACUCGCCCAGCAUGUGCGGGUCACUGGGUUUGAUCCUCAAUACCACAUAAAAAUGGAACAAAGACAGAGGACACCAAUAGAAGAGUAACUAUGGUAUUUUCAAGAUUUGCAGAGACAUUCAACUGCCAGCUUUUACAACCUCCUGCUCCAGAGCCCGAGAGCAGCACCUAGAAGUCUCCAGUCAUUGCCCCACCCCUUCCAGAGGCAGUGAAGAUUGCAAAGAUCACCCCAAGGUGGGACUACUCCCCUAAGCAGGAAUAAUUAUUUAGGGGAACCAAAUUGCCCCCUUUCAAUAUCACAGAUCUAAUAGAUGAACACCCAAGCAGCAAAUAGAGAUCGCUCCCUCAAAUACUAAGGGCUUCCUGGAGCCAUUCUGCAUCACCAGGAUUGAGAUAAUAAUGUUCAACUUGACCAAGACUUUUAAAUUAUGCAUAUCUCUCACCCCCUGCCUGAAUUCUUCCUCCAUUUAAACCUAAAGUUCUUAUCAGUAUCCCCAAGACAGGGCUGAGACACUUGAUGUACAGUUCCUUGCCUACUCUUCAUCAUUAUUUUUUCCGUUUGAUUUUUGGGGUGAGUGACCAGACCUGAUUUAUUUGGACCCCCAGAGUUGAGCCUCUGAUCUAGGUCUCCAGUACAGUACUUUUAGAAUGAUAUUAGACAGAGGGCUGGGGCUGUGGCUCAAUGGUAGAGCGCUUUGUCUAGCAUGUGCGAGGCAGUGGGUUCUAUCCUUGGCACCACAUAAGAAUGAAUAAAUAAAAUAAAGGUAAUGUUA